CCUGAGCUUAGAACAUAAGAAUGGCCAUACUGGCUCAGACCAAUAUUAACUUAUAGAAUAAGAACAUAUAGGAUACAUUUCUUCCCAAGAUUUUGGAAAAGUUAUAAUUUUUAAAAUUAAACCACUGCAAAUACUCUCUUAGAAAGUGCCACCUCAAACAUAACAAUGUUAGCAUGACAGUAUAGUAACCUCUAGUAAGCCACAUAAUAAAAUAUUUAUAUCCUUGAUAUUUAUGCUAUUUGGCAAAUAUUGGGGUUUUUUUCUGCUGUGUUCUUCUAAUAGAUCGUGAAAUACAGCUUUUGUUUGCUGUGUUUACGCACAGAUACCUGCUGUUAGCAAUCUAUGAAGGUAGUUACACUUCAGUUAAGACACAGGGCUUGUCCCCAAAAUAUUGAUGAGUCUCAGAAACCCACUUUGAGGGCAUGUACAUGAGGGUUAUUGUACAUUUAUUUAAUGGACAACAUAGAGUGGUUAAUAACAGAAUCACUUGAAUGAGAGAAAAGGGAAAUUUACAGUCAAAUUACUUUCCUUAUCUUUCUGUCUGAACAAACAGGAGUAGGAUCUGUAAAAUUGCAGUUUCUCUUAUAAUCCCAAAAAUUCCUAUUUUUCUAAUAUUUCUUGCUAUUUUACUUAUUUAUUACACCUUCCUUUAAAUCUGAGAAAAUAUUCACACUUUUCAAAAAAAAUGAAGUGAACGUGUUUAAAAGAUUCACUAUACUUACGAUGACCAUACGUCCCUUUUUUCCAAGACAAUCUCGGAUUUAAGGGUUCUGUCCCGGUGUCCACAUAAAGGUGGCAAAUGUCCUGGAAAACCCAUUGGGAUCCAGCUACAAACAGCACCAUCAUUUCCCCCCCUCUCCAGGACACACUCGCAGACACCCAGCGCUAGCAGCAACACCCCACCUCCACCCAGCACGUAAAUUCUGCAGAAAACUAUUGAUAGUUCUCAAUCAGGUUUAUUUAAAGGAAGCAGCGAGAGAGGAGGGCUCGAUGCUGGAAGUGAAAGAAGAGACCAAAAACCUGUUUUGCCCAUGUUGAGUUUAAGAAGUUAACCACACAUUCAUGAAGAGAUGUAAGACAGGCCAAGAUACUAGACUGGAUAAUGAGGGAGACAAAUCAUAAAGCUAUAUAUCAACUGAAGAACAAUCAGCUUCAAAUGUUUACAGAUUAAAAGCUAUCUGAAGACAUGAAAACCUUUUAAAACAGAAGAGUUAAGAUUCUGAAGAACAGAAACUAGAAAAUAAACGCAUAAUAGUUUGCUUUUGGAAUAUGAAGAUAUGCUUACUCCUCAUCAAAACACAGCUAAUCAAAAGUUCUUUUACUACAAAGAGAAUGGAACAUCAACUAGCAAAAGGUAGAAAUCUGUAUUUCCAGAUACUAGGCUCACCGCAAAUUAUCAACUUAUAGUAUCGAGUAUGUUCAAAAUAACCAGAAAUGUUGACAGAUUAUUCAAAUGCAUGUCUGAAUAUUUAUUCUGAAAAUCACCAUCUUAACUCAGUCUCAUCAGAAUAAAAUCCUUAUGAUUCUAAUAAAUAGAUCUAACAUUACGUUUAGUACUAUAGCAUUGGAUGUAUGCCAGACAUCUGCUAUCAUUAGCAAAAUUAAAACUAAUUUUAUUGAAACUGAAGCAAUUUGGAGUACUCAGAAGACCUUAAGGAUUCUUCAAGUAGAUCUAAGCUGCUUAAUGAGAAACUCCUGACUUAACAUCUGAUUUGAAUUAUUCAAAAGUCAAAUAUUCUUAAAGCUUUGUCUACACAACUACUCUUAAUCAAGCAAGUAGCCUUGAGAUAUGACAGGAACUACCAAGGUCUAAUAUGGUUUAAGGAUGUUAAAAAUUGUUUAAUAGGGUAACCAUGUAACUGCUGAAAAUCUUGGAGGUUACACGCACUACAGGCUCUGCAGCAUAAACUUAAGCAAGCUUUAUACUGCAGAGCCCACACUGAAACCUCCCUUGCCCCCAAGACUCCUCUCUCCGGGAGAAGGCUUCACUGCCCUGCCGCAGCAAAGCGCCUCUUCAGGAGCCAGCUGAGUGUAACCAAUACUAUUAACAGAUAACCAUCAGUUUAUUGAUUAGACAGUUAAUUAGUUAUACUCUAACAUCCCUAAAAUGGUCUGACUGUAUUUUCUUAGAAAGACAGAGGCAACAGUACAAAACACACAAACAAAAAUGUUUAUAAUGUAUUAACACUCAUCUUCCAGAAAGUGUGUUUGGAAAAAGCCUAAAAAUAACUAAGCUCUUUACUUCCUGUUGAAACACAUUACCUACUCUCUGAAUAGCUUGUUCAGCAGCAUUUUUUUUUUAAGUUCAAAAUAAACAAAAUACCCUUUACUGUUAAUUUCUGCUCAUACUUAAAGACAAUGGGCACUGACAAACUAUCAUUCUUCAUAUGCACAGACAGGAUUGUCUUGUAUAUUUGCUUCCAGUGUUUGCCAAAAGGCAUCUGCCAUUGUACAAAUAAACUUUUUUUGUGUUCAAAAUCAUAUCUCAGUGGCAUUAUUUAGUGAAAGAUUAGGCUAUAAACUUUCAUUGGAAAAAAUAAUUACAUAUAAAAUGUCAAGAUUUACAUUUGACUGUUCAGACAGCAUUAAGUACCCUUUCAAAAAAAUAUUACUCUGCUCUGAAGGUGUGACAAAAACCACAAGGAAUCAGUGAAAAAGAAUGGAGUAUUAAAAUUCAGAACUGUUGAUCUCUGAGAAGCUAGAGGAAGAUGAUGAGAUUGUUUUAAACAUUAAUUAAUCUUCUGAAUCCCCAGUCAUGUUUUAACUAGUUGUCUCCUAUGAGCCCUAGAUUCUUUUCUGCAGUAAUUCUUUCACAUUUUGUAUCCUUGCAAUUGACUGGUCUCUCCCAAGCGUAGUACUUUGUAUUUGUCCUUACUGAAUUUCAUCCUGUUUAUUUCAGACCUUUUUUCAGUUUGUGCA